rnacentral:antisense_RNA from 1 species
UGUGGGAGCGGGCUUGCCCGCGAAGGCGUUGUGCCAUCCAACUUAUUUUUUGCUGACAGACCGCUUUCGCGGGCAAGCCCGCUCCCACA